rnacentral:rRNA from 1 species
GACGAACGCUGGCGGCGUGCCUAAUACAUGCAAGUAGAACGCUGAAGGAGGAGCUUGCUUCUCUGGAUGAGUUGCGAACGGGUGAGUAACGCGUAGGUAACCUGCCUGGUAGCGGGGGAUAACUAUUGGAAACGAUAGCUAAUACCGCAUAAUAGUAGAUGUUGCAUGACAUUUGCUUAAAAGGUGCAAUUGCAUCACUACCAGAUGGACCUGCGUUGUAUUAGCUAGUUGGUGGGGUAACGGCUCACCAAGGCGACGACACAUAGCCGACCUGAGAGGGUGAGCGGCCACACUGGGACUGAGACACGGCCCAGACUCCUACGGGAGGCAGCAGUAGGGAAUCUUCGGCAAUGGACGGAAGUCUGACCGAGCAACGCCGCGUGAGUGAAGAAGGUUUUCGGAUCGUAAAGCUCUGUUGUAAGAGAAGAACGAGUGUGAGAGUGGAAAGUUCACACUGUGACGGUAUCUUACCAGAAAGGGACGGCUAACUACGUG